GAUGAACGCUGGCGGCGUGCCUAACACAUGCAAGUCGAGCGAACAGACGAGGAGCUUGCUCCUCUGACGUUAGCGGCGGACGGGUGAGUAACACGUGGAUAACCUACCUAUAAGACUGGGAUAACUUCGGGAAACCGGAGCUAAUACCGGAUAAUAUAUUGAACCGCAUGGUUCAAUAGUGAAAGACGGUUUUGCUGUCACUUAUAGAUGGAUCCGCGCCGCAUUAGUUAGUUGGUAAGGUAACGGCUUACCAAGGCUACGAUGCGUAGCCGACCUGAGAGGGUGAUCGGCCACACUGGAACUGAGACACGGUCCAGACUCCUACGGGAGGCAGCAGUCGGGAAUCUUGCGCAAUGGGCGAAAGCCUGACGGAGCAACGCCGCGUGAGUGAUGAAGGUCUUCGGAUCGUAAAGCUCUGUUGUUAGGAAAGAACAAAAGUGUAAGUAACUCUGCACGUCUUGACGGUACCUAAUCAAAAAGCCACGGCUAACUACGUG
rnacentral:rRNA from 1 species